UUCCUACGGGAGGCAGCAGUGGGGAAUUUUGGACAAUGGGGGCAACCCUGAUCCAGCCAUGCCGCGUGAGUGAAGAAGGCCUUCGGGUUGUAAAGCUCUUUCGGCCGGGAAGAAAUCGUAUGGGCUAAUACCCUGUGCGGAUGACGGUACCCCGAAUAAGAAGGCCCCAUUUCUG
rnacentral:rRNA from 1 species